GCGCCCGUAGCUCAGGCGGACAGAGCGGCGGUUUCCUAAACCGCAGGCCACUGGUUCGAGUCCAGUCGGGCGUACCA
rnacentral:tRNA from 1 species